rnacentral:rRNA from 1 species
GGAAUUGUUCGCAAUGGGCGCAAGCCUGACGACGCACCGCCGCGUGGAGGAUGAAGGUCUUCGGAUUGUAAACUCCUGUUGCCCGGGACGAAAAGCUUCAGCUUAAUACGUUGAAGUCUGACGGUACCGGGUGAGGAAGCACCGGCUACCUCCGUGCCAGCAGCCGCCGUAAUACGGAGGGUGCGAGCGUUGUCCGGAAUCAUUGGGCGUAAAGGGCGCGUAGGUGGCCCGGUCAGUCUGUGGUGAAAGCGCGGGGCUCAACCCUGCGUCGGCCAGGGAUACUGCCGCGGCUGGAGCACUGUAGAGGCAGGCGGAAUUCCGGGUGUAGCGGUGGAAUGCGUAGAGAUCCGGAAGAACACCGGUGGCGAAGGCGGCCUGCUGGGCAGUGGGGUGAAGACCCCUUCAAGCUGACACUGAGGCGCGACAGCGUGGGGAGCAAAC